UCCAGACUCCUACGGGAGGCAGCAGUGAGGAAUAUUGGGCAAUGGAGGCAACUCUGACCCAGCCAUGCCGCGUGAGUGAAGAAGGUUUUCGGAUUGUAAAGCUCUUUCGGAUGUGACGAUGAUGACGGUAGCAUCUAAAGAAGCCCCGGCUAACUACGUGCCAGCAGCCGCGGUAAUACGUAGGGAGCAAGCGUUGUCCGGAAUUACUGGGCGUAAAGGGCGCGUAGGUGGGCGCUUAAGUCAGGUGUGAAAACUCCGGGCUCAACCUGGAGACUGCACUUGAAACUGGGUGUCUUGAGGGCAGGAGAGGAAAGUGGAAUUCCUAGUGUAGCGGUGAAAUGCGUAGAUAUUAGGAGGAACACCAGUGGCGAAGGCGACUUUCUGGACUGUACCUGACGCUGAGGCGCGAAAGCGUGGGUAGCGAACGGGAUUAGAUACCCUGGUAC
rnacentral:rRNA from 1 species